rnacentral:rRNA from 1 species
UACAGAGGGUGCGAGCGUUAAUCGGAAUUACUGGGCGUAAAGCGUGCGUAGACGGUUAUCUAAGUCGGAUGUGAAAGCCCCGGGCUCAACCUGGGAAUGGCGAUGGAUACUGGCGGGCUAGAGUGCGGUAGAGGAGAGUGGAAUUCCCGGUGUAGCAGUGAAAUGCGUAGAGAUCGGGAGGAACAUCAGUUGCGAAGGCGGCUCUCUGGACCAGCACUGACACUGAGGCACGAAAGCGUGGGGAGCAAACAGG